UACGUAGGGGGCAAGCGUUGUUCGGAAUUACUGGGCGUAAAGGGCGCGUAGGCGGCACGGCAAGUCAGGAGUGAAAGCCCGGGGCUCAACCCCGGAAUGGCUUUUGAAACUGCCGAGCUAGAGUGCGGAAGAGGCAACUGGAAUUCCCAGUGUAGCGGUGAAAUGCGUAGAUAUUGGGAAGAACACCGGAGGCGAAGGCGGGUUGCUGGGCCGACACUGACGCUGAGGCGCGAAAGCCAGGGGAGCGAACGGG
rnacentral:rRNA from 1 species